UAUUGCACAAUGGGUGAAACCCUGAUGCAGCGACGCCGCGUGAGUGAAGAAGUAUUUCGUUAUGUAAAGCUCUAUCAGCAGGGAAGAAAAUGACAGUACCUGACCAAGAAGCCCCGGCUAACUACGUGCCAGCAGCCGCGGUAAUACGUAGUGGGCAAGCGUUAUCCGGAUUUACUGGGUGUAAAGGGAGCGUAGACGGUUAUGUAAGUCUGGAGUGAAAGCCCGGGGCCCAACCCCGGGAAUGCUUUGGAAACUGUGUAACUGGAGGACAGGAGGGGCAGGCGGAAUUCCUGGUGUAGCGGUGAAAGGCGUAGAUAUCAGGAGGAACACCGGCGGCGAAGGCGGCCUGCUGGACUGAAACUGACGUUGAGGCUCGAAAGCGUGGGGAGCAAACAGG
rnacentral:rRNA from 1 species